rnacentral:lncRNA from 1 species
CCUACAGAUUAGUUACAGAAUUCAACCUAUGAAUGUAUAUAAUGUCUUUGAUACAUAGCUUGCCCCAUCAUAAUCAAUAAAUAAUUGGAAGCUACUAAAACUUGUUUUCAUUCAUUGUUUCAUUUGUUUAUACACAACUUUAAAGUGCUGUAGUUUUCACUUUUUAGGAUGUUGCUUCUCUGCCAAUCUGACAUUUUUUUGAAAUUUAUAUAUAAUUUUUUGAAAUACUCAUAAUUUAAGAGGGAAAAUUACACACAUUUUCACAAUGAUUAUUUGAUGUCCUUGUUUAAAUAAGCUGUUUGUUGCCACCCUGUUUUGAAGGAAGUGUCAUUGUAUGCUAGCAAAGAUCUGGAAUCUAAAUCCAAGUUUUGAACAUUCUAUUUGAAAUUACAACAUUAAGAAUGGUUUUGACAUAAGUGUUACAGAUCAGCAAAAGGUCACAUGAGUUUGU